rnacentral:misc_RNA from 1 species
AGAGGAGGCUUGGGACACUAUGAUGUA